GGGGAAACUGAGUUCAUAUCAGCACACCAGAGCUGUCUGGCCCCCAAGCCUCUGCUCUUCACAUUGGACCAUGUCCCGUAUCCAAAGAGAAAUUUACUCACCACCACUGGCGCUUUUCAGUGUAAUAGAUGCUGUACUCUUGGGUAAGUCACAGGAGGAGAUGGGAGAAAUAAUAGGAACAUGACAAGAAAACAAAGCUGGGAACGAAAGUCUCCAACACAGCAGAGCUAAACAAAAGAGAAGCCUAGAACCACGUGCCACCACUUGGACAGGAACUGUUCAUCUGACUACAGCAAAUGUGGAAAUAAACUUUUGGGCAGAAAAG